GAGCAUUUGUGUCAUUUCAUGCUGCUUUUGAAAUGUUUUGGUCUGCUUGAGUCCUCGUGAUGCUCCUGUGACACCGAUGAACCUCCGUGUGUCACCAAAGAUCCUCACAUCAGAAGGCAAGGGCAGGCCGAGCUAAACAGCUGGCUGGAUUUGCAUGAAAAUGGACUGCCCUUUUUCAUUUGUUUGUUCUUGGGAAAUUACAGUAGGAAAUUCACAUAAGGAAUUGCUCCUGCUUUGCUUAUCUCCCAGCAGAGAUUCGAGGUUGAAUUUCCCAUGAGCUCAC
rnacentral:lncRNA from 1 species